AAGUCAGAAAACAGAUUUAAACCAAGUUUGAAACGGUGCCUCUGUUUGCUAGUACUGCGAGACAACGUCGUUACGUUGAAGGAAUGGAUGCUAAAACAAACUCUGGGUGAGACUGGACGCUGAACACACCAGCGGCGCGAAGGUUUACUGGUUCAGCUGCUGCAGCCUGGACAGAAACACCACCUCUCACCUUACAAACCAAACAGGUGUCACCACUUCAUCCACAAUCACAGAGAGUCUUCGUACAGUGAGGAAGUUCUUUGAGACCAGGACUGAGGCCUCCAGGAUUCAAACUUAAACCAUUAAAUCAGAGAGAGGGAGACGUGAAGACAUUUCCAGAAGGUCUUCAGCUGCUGUUGUCAUCUCCUUCUGCAGAGACAAUAACAUGUAUUAAUCACAGAAACUGAUCAGUAAAUGGUAAUAUUUUAACGACAUACUAUUCUCUGACAUUUUUUGAUGUUUUUUAUGCCUUUUUGCCAUUUUUGUCAGUUUUUGACAUCUCAUUUUUUGACUGAUCUGACACCUUACUAUACUAUAAGACUUAAGAGGCUUAGACAAAGGAACUCUCUUAAAGUAGCCAUCUUACCUUUGUUUUCCACAGACACACACAUUCACACCUCAACACUAGGGCAAUCGAAAUCGAACCGCAAUUGUGACUUGCAAGUUAGUUCAAAUCACAAUUUCAAUUAUUUUUACAACAGAGUCAGUGGACAUGUCGGUACACUUUUUUUAGCUGCCUCACAAUUCAACACACAGAGGACUGCAGGAGCAACUGUAACUCUAACUGUAACGAACUGUGGAGUUAGAUACGUGAUGAAAACAGAGGGCAGAGCAACAGAGUGAUAACGUGACGCAGGCAGUGUGAGUCGCUCCAAUUCUCUCUGCUCUGGUGUCACGUUCUACCUGCAUGCCCAUCCUGAGGACGGACACAACUAAAGCUGAAACUACCGGUGAUAUGACGAGUUACAAAGCAGCUGACAGUGUCAACAGGCAUAAAUAUAUUGAUACAUAGAUAAUUGGAAUAAAUACAUUUUGGAUUUGUAUA